AUGACUUAAGUUGCCUUGAGGGAGUCAGCCAAAACUGGGCUUGGGAACAGGAAGGCUUUGCCCGUUUAUUUGGAUUCUCAGGGUAGUCGAUUUUGCCACCUCUUGGCUAUCAGCUGCCUUGGAGAUUGGUUUCAUAGUAAGGAUUCUUUCUUUAAGGUGAUAUGGAGCAACUGCUUUCACAGGGGCACCAGGUUGGUAAAAACUCAAAGCUAACACCAUUCAGAACUUACCUAAUGAUGUUUGAAAAAGAGGCGGUAGGCUGAUAACUGCUUCCUAGGAAGACCUACCAACUUCACCAGCAUGCUCAUUACUCUCAUCAUUGUUGUUGGAACAUUUUGUUCUUGGGUACAAGCUUACUUUACACACAUCUGGUUACUAUGUUUGUUCUGGAAGACGGCAGCCUCAUGGAGUGACUAGAGAACACUUGAUACUGAGCUCUGGAAAUCGUUUUUUAACAGCUUUAUUGAUAUUGUAUAAUUUACAGAUCAUCAAGUUAAGCCCUUUAAAGUAUACAAUUCAUUGGUUUUUUGAAUAUCUACAGAGUUGUGUGACCAUAAC
rnacentral:lncRNA from 10 species